CCCCUCAGUUUAGUGCAAAAAUGGUGGCCGUCUGGUACGGUGAUGGUUGUGAUUUUGAUGACAAUUCUCUUUCUCAUCUUUUCGACAACUGCAGCUGAAGUUUUCGUGCUCCCUGAGUGUUCUUGGCAUUAGAGAUGGAAUGGUCCCAUCCAAUAGUGUAACCUGUGUCUUUCAUUCUCAGAGGAACUUCUAUUUUCAAGAUAAAAAUCUAGAAUCAUAUCCUAAGUCUCCAGUUCAACAGCAGCUGCCAAUAAUGGUCCUGGGAACUUCCUCGCCCGUUUAGUGCGUCGAUUCGCCAAUUAUUUGUUUGGCCGAUUGCAUCGCUUUGGACUCCAACAUCACUGCAAUGAACCGAAACUAGGACGCUCUUUCGUGGCCGGGAGUGAUAAACGAUAUCCUGCUGGUUGAGGAUCGUGAAUCGAAUCAUACGAUCUGCUGAAGAAUAUCUCGGUUCUUUCGAAUGACCCGGCGCAACAACUCACAGAUUUCGUCCAGGAUCAACUCGCUUAUCCAAUCCCGCCAUUUUGGGAUCCAGCGAAGAAAAAUUUGACUCCCCAGCUGAAUUAAUUUCGUACCAAAUGAGAUCGUUGUCGACCAUUCGACAUCAGGUGCCACUGCUCCAAUCGAUCUGCCGGACAGUAUUCCGGCUUAAAAGAUUCAUUUCCCUUUGUUAUUGUUUGAAAUUGCCGUGAACUUAUUUGUUAUUUUUUUUUUGUCUGCUCUUCGUCUUGUUGUGAAGCGCCUAGAGUAGCAUAUCUGAGAAAGCGUCAGACAGUUGGCGUAUUGGCCCAGCCGAAGCCGCUGGAGAAAGUGAGAUUGGCGGCGAUCGUGCGUCCAAGGCCAGUUUUAGUGAUGGUAAGUCGCUGCCGUUAUUGUUGUCAUAAAAGGGGAGAUUUGUGACUCCUGCCCCCCCCCCCCCUGUUAAUUUCGUCAUCAGAAACACAAAUGAUUUCCAUUCAGGGUUCGCCAUCUCUCAUACCGGUCAGUUACAGCAGUAGUCAAUGGCUUACAACGAAUUGUUUAUAUCAAGGUUUCUCUUUUCUUUUAAAUGCGACAAUGCAUUAAUGUUAGUAGUUGUGUGAUUAAGAGUUAAUUGGAGAAGUAAUGGGUUAGUACAUGCAUGUUUUUAAAUGAUAAGAACAGACAUGGGGAACAGUGAGAGACAAUAUGGAGGAGUAGAUAACGGCCCCGGGGAUUUUCUUUAGUUUUUAUAAACAAUUGGGGCCACAGCCAUUAAACAAAGGUCACACAUUGGAUUGUUAUCAUGAAAUCCGUAUGGGUUGGUUGCGAAUGUUAUGGAAUGUUUCAAUUUUGUAAACAUGGCAGUAGCUAAUUGGUUACAGCUUAAAAUUGUUACGAUCGAGUUUUAUGUUCGAUUUUAGUUGAAGAAAGUCUAGGGUAAGUUCAAGGCCUGUUUAAAGAGAGUAGGGGCAGAUAUCAUCCAUAAAAAUAAUUUUAGUUGAAUCGAUUUAUGACGUGUUAUUCACACCCAUGAGCGUGAUUGCAUUUGUUGUUUAAAUGUUGUUACAGUACCAUAACAACAAAUGCGUAGCAGAGAAGAAGUUAUUGUGAGAGUGUUUAGUGAUUGAACCCUGGUAGUUGUGGGUGGCUAGUUUUUAGUGUUUCAUUCUACGCGAGUCACGUAACUAUUUCAGUCCUCUUCAUUCUCUAGUGUGGUGUUGGCAAUAGAAUACGUGUGUCCGAUUUAAGUCUGGGUGUUCUUGUGGGUAGUGGGAUUCGUAGGAUUGCAUCUUUUGCUUGUUAAGUUCGUUUUAGUCCCUGAUGCGAUUAACUUUUUUGUUUUCCGCCGAGUGACGUCAUUACAUAUAAGGCAACAGAAAUAAUAAAUGUGUAAUUAAUAAUAAUUAGUGCCUUGUUUGUGUUUGUUUUUACUUUUCGGUUGAGUGCGUGAGUGUUGCAGGAUGCAGACAUUGUAGAUUGAACACCGUUUUGAGUUUAGAGUUUGCAGUGUUUGGCUGUUGGUGAUGUCGGUUUCUUGAUCAUGAUUAUUAAGUGAAGAGAAUAUUACUCUGAGCCCUGAGGAAACGUGAAAGUCGUGCAGCCUACCCUCAACUAUUUUGUU